rnacentral:tRNA from 1 species
GUGGUGGCUCAGCAGUAGAGUGCUUGCCUAGCAAGUGUGAGGCCCUGGGUUCAAAUCCUCAGAACCACA